rnacentral:lncRNA from 1 species
UUUCUAUAACGAGCAUACCUUCAGAAGAUCUGCCUUCCUUCUUAUUCUCGGACUCAUCAGGUAAGCUGGGUAGUUCCAUUUUCAGUGGCGGUCCUUAUCACAGUGGAAAUAUUUUUCUUUUUCAAUGGCCUUCUUCUUUGGAACUACCUUCUUCUCCUUCUUCUUGCUCUUCACUUUUUGCUUCUUUAUGGACUUUUUCUUCUUUCCAGUUGA